rnacentral:lncRNA from 1 species
AAAAAUAAAUAAUAAAGGGAGGUAACUAUAAUCACAACUAGCAAUAUAUAUGUUCUAUUGACUUUAUAUAAUGUUUAGUUUAUACAUAGUAAUAAAGGGUUACAAAGAAUGCACCAUAAAACAUCAGCAAGUCAACAAAAGCUUGAUCAUCUUUUUAAAUUAUCAAAUUCUGAACAAAAUAGUGGAACAAUUCUUUUUGAUCCUAACUCUCAUAUUGUUAUAACAAACAGUUAAUUUCAUAAGAAAUAUUCAAUUUAUCAAUAAUACUCAUUACAAACAUUGUAUCAGAUUAAAAAAAUUAUAAAAACUUCGAAAAUAACAAGCAGGUCGUCAUAACCUUUAAGUCGAAGGACAGAUAACACUAUUUACUUAAGAUCAUCAAACGAAAAACAAUCUAUCGUUUAGUUUUCAAUGACAAAACAUGCUAGAUAAUGUAACCAUAUGGUUAUAUAACCUUUCUUUAAUAUUGUAAUGCCCUAGUCUGAUCCCACAAGUUUAACUUAAAUGGAGCCAACUAAAUUAUACUGGAGGAUUAGAGACGAUAUUCUACGAACAAAAAUGACUUUGACUUCACGUUAUUAGAGGAAAUUUCAAUAGAAAAAUGUUCGACAUAUCAUUUGUAUUCAGGGUGUUGUCUGUUAGUAUCUAAAUUGAAGUUUUCGAUUAUCCCAUUAAUACCUUUGUUCUUGUCACAGAUCUAAAUAAUAGGCAAAAAUAUAUGUGUGGUUCCAGUGACCCUACCUUCCCUACUUUUUCAACUUAAAAAGAGCCUACCCUAAAGAUUGUAUUGUCAUUUUUCAUUAAGCACUGUUAAAGUCAGAAUGAUGCUCCAAUAGACUCAAUGUAAAAAAAAACCAUAAAAUAAAAAAAAAUCCCUACCUACCUACCCUAACUUUUUUUCAGAUGUAACUGGAACCACACAUACUAUUUUAUUUGGCCUAAUCAAAGUAUGACAAAAGCAAUUUGUAAUGGCUAAAACUUCAGUUCUCUAAUUAACUGGGGGUGGUCACAGGUGCUCGGAAAGUCAAACAUUAUAAAUCUUUGUUGAAUGAUUUACACAAAGGAAUGUGAUACUUAAACAUCGUCUCAGACAAGACUUACAUUUAUGUCAUUACAAUAUAGAAUUCAGGCAUUCUAGUAAAAUAUAUUUCACAUGGAGGUCUUGGGCAUAAAAAAUAUACGGCAGCAUAUAUAAGUGAAAGCCUAACAUAUUCCACCAUGGUAUAAAUAUAGUACACGUCUUUUUUAAAUGAUGAAUUUGAGUUAUAUAUCCGGUUUGUAAAACCCCAAAUAAACAUUUUUGAUAAUAGACGGGACUUAUCAGAAUGAUGAACUCGAGCAUGCAAUAAUUAAUAAAUAAUAGAAUGUUCGUGGUUGCGCAAGUAACACUCCAUGAGGCGAAAAUGAUUCAAUGAAAAGUAACUACCCAUAAUAUGUAAAUAUACGUAUGUAUCAAUAAAAAAUAGACAAAAUAUAUCAGUUCUACAUCUGAAAUGUGCAUUUUACAUCAAGUUCUUCAUCCAUUUGAACCUAUGUGUGAAUGCAGCUAAACAAAACAGAAUUAUUUGAAUAACUUUGAUUUGCUCUCAAAACAUGUCAAAUGAUAUGUUUAAAACAAUCUGAAGGAACUACAGUCUCGGUCAACUACAAAAAUAGCACCAAUAGAACGAUUAGUUUCAAAAGUUACAGGAGAUCGUUAACUGUAAAAACUCGCACAUGUAUGUUUCUAAAAAUGUUAUUAUAGGAAUAAAGUCACUAAUGCAUUGUUAUCAAAGGUACCAUGCUUAUAAUUUAAUACGCAAGCCACGCGUUUCGUCUACAUAAGACAUCAGUAACGCUCAGAUCAAAAUAGUUAUAAAGUCAAAGUAAAACGUUGAAGAGAAUUGAGGACCCAAAAUUCAAAUAGUUGUACCAAAUACGGCUUAGCUAAUCUAUGGUACUUCUGAUCCAAACAACAGGGCAAUGUACCAUUCAAUUAUAAUUUUGAUCAUAUGGUAUCAUUCAAUAGAAACUUUCAACAACGGUUCUACGGUUAUCACAAAUCCGUAAGCUUUCAUUUGAUACUAAAAUUACACAAACAUUUUCCUCAAUGACAAAGAUGCAUGCGAACUAUUUUAUUUCAAAUAUGUACUACUUUCUUGUAUGUACUUUCUGACCGGGCUCGAAUUAGUGGUUUUAAACCUUAUACAAGUUUUUGAUUUUAUACUGUAUCAUAGUUACCUAUUCACAUCACAGUUAUAAUAUUUUAAAGCCAUUCAAAGCAUUUAACUACAAUAAAAGUAGACUGAAAUGUAUAAAUCGUACUGACUUUUUGAAACAAAAAUUUUCCUUAUAAUUACUGUUGUUCUUUCUUUUCACAAAAA